rnacentral:rRNA from 1 species
UACGUAGGUGGCAAGCGUUGUCCGGAAUUAUUGGGCGUAAAGCGCGCGCAGGCGGUCCUUUAAGUCUGAUGUGAAAGCCCACGGCUCAACCGUGGAGGGUCAUUGGAAACUGGGGGACUUGAGUGCAGAAGAGAAGAGUGGAAUUCCACGUGUAGCGGUGAAAUGCGUAGAGAUGUGGAGGAACACCAGUGGCGAAGGCGGGUCUCUGGGCCGGAACUGACGCUGAGGAGCGAAAGCGUGGGGAGCGAACAGG